UCAUCGGUGGUUCAGUGGUAGAAUGCUCGCCUGCCACGCGGGCGGCCCGGGUUCGUUUCCCGGGCCGCCCGGGAG
rnacentral:tRNA from 1 species